rnacentral:lncRNA from 1 species
AUGGCCAUUUCCGAAGUUUACCAUGCCCUGGUUCCACAUGAAUCUUAUGCCUCCACUUUGUUCGGCUCCACAGAGCUGCGUCAAGGGCUGGGAGAAGGAGGAAGAGGAGGAGGAGAAGCAGGAGGAGGAGGAGCAGGAGGAGGAGGAGAGGACCCGGCCUCCAAGGCCAAAAUGAAUCAUGAUGUGAAAAGCUUUGUUCUCUAUGAGCAACAUGUCAACCUUCAUCAGACUGCCUGUGUAAGGAUCUCAUUAUACCGCACGGACAAGGGAACCUUGCCAAAGUGAUUCCAAACCAGGGACAUUUGGUCCUGUAAAAACCCAUGGAAGAAGGUACUAAAAAAUAUUUGAAGUCUUACAGUAUUAGAGGAUGAGUUACAACAAAGUUAAUUGAGUUCAUCUCUCUCAUUUAUUACCUCUCCAAAUUAUGAAAGCAUUAAGUACUGUGUACUCUAUUAAUUAGUUUUCUCACCCAGCUUUAUUGAUAAACAAUUGACAAAUAAAAUCGUAAGAUAUUUAAAGCAUAUAAUAUGGUGACUUGACAUUCAUAAGUUGAGAGUAUUCCCUCAUUGUGUUCAUUAGCACAUCUAUCACCUCACACGUUUACUUUCCUUUUUUAUUUUUCUAAUGUUUAAAAUUUUUUAAUUUUUAAAGUUUUGUUAUUUUCCUUGAGAGAGACAGAGACAGAGAGAGUGUGCAUAUGGGAUGGAGAUAGGUAGGGGGCAAGGGAAAGAGAGAAUCCUAAGCUUGCUCCAGCAGAGGGGCUCAAUCUCACAACCCUGAAAUCAUGACCUGAGCUGAAAUCAAGAGUUAGACACUUAACUGACUUAACCACUCAGGCACCCCUACCUUUUCUUUUUUUCUUGAGAAAACAUUUAAGCUCUACAGUCUUGGCAAAUUUCAGUUACACAGUACAGUGUUAUCGACCAUGAUCACCAUGUUAUACAUUAGAUCCUCAGACCUUAUUUAUCUCCUAAUGGAAAGUUUGUACCUUUUACCAGUCUCUCCCUAUUUCUUUCAACCCCUAGCCCUUGGCAAUUACUUUUCUACUUUGUUUCCUCUACUCAAGUUAUAAGCGAUCUCAUGAGUUGUCUUUCUCUGCUCUAUUGACCAGUUUGGGGUAGAGAACAGACACGUCUUCCUACUUUUGGAAGGAAAUCAAGGCUGUGGGGUAUGUCUAGAUCACUUAACUAUUUAACCCAAAGAACAUGAAAAGUUACCAUGAAAGUUAAGAAAGAAUCUUGCAAGAGUCCUACACUUGGUCCUGAUCCUCUGCUCCUUUGGUGACUACUGUUCCUUGCCCCUGCUGAGGAUUUGAGAAUUGAGACACACUGGCAGGGGAGGAAGCCUGUGGGAAAAAUAUUCUCAUCAUUAACUGGUUCAGUAAGGUCUAUUAUAGGAGGCUCAAGUUAC